GCAUCGAUGAAGAACGCAGCGAAACGCGAUAGGUAAUGUGAAUUGCAGAAUUCCGUGAAUCAUCGAAUCUUUGAACGCACCUUGCGCUCCAUGGCAUUCCGUGGAGCAUGCCUGUUUAAGUGCCGCGAAAUCUCCCACCCCUAGCGGUUGCCGCAAGGCGCCGCCGGGCGGCGGGGUUGGUUGGGUGCCGCUGCCUGGGCUUUGGCCCAGGCUCGCCCGAAAUGCAUGAGCGCUUAGCACUCGCACCGUCUCGAGGGAAGGCGGCGGAGCUGGCAUCUGCGCAUGGCAUGAUACGUCAUUUGCUGUGUGGCAGCCCAGCGACCCGAGAGUGUGUGUGCGCUACUACACGCCCUUUCAUUUCUGGUCUCAAAUCAGGUAGGAUCACCCGCUGAACUUAAGCAUAUCAAUAAGCGGAGGA
rnacentral:rRNA from 1 species